rnacentral:rRNA from 1 species
UACAGAGGUCUCAAGCGUUGUUCGGAUUCAUUGGGCGUAAAGGGUGCGUAGGCGGCGCGGUAAGUCGGGUGUGAAAUCUCGGGGCUUAACUCCGAAACUGCAUUCGAUACUGCCGUGCUUGAGGACUGGAGAGGAGACUGGAAUUUACGGUGUAGCGGCGAAAUGCGUAGAUAUCGUAAGGAAGACCAGUGGCGAAGGCGGGUCUCUGGACAGUUCCUGACGCUGAGGCACGAAGGUCAGGGGAGCAAACGGG